AUACGGAGGGUCCGAGCGUUAUCCGGAAUCAUUGGGUUUAAAGGGUCCGUAGGCGGGAAUCUAAGUCAGUGGUGAAAUCUUGCAGCUCAACUGUAAAAUUGCCAUUGAUACUGGAUUUCUUGAAUUAGUGUGAAGUGAUUAGAAUGUGUAGUGUAGCGGUGAAAUGCAUAGAUAUUACACAGAAUACCAAUUGCGAAGGCAGAUCACUAACACUAUAUUGACGCUGAGGGACGAAAGCGUGGGGAGCGAACAGGAUUAGAAACCCGGGUAGUCC
rnacentral:rRNA from 1 species